AAGCGAGGACGACCUCCCCCCAUCGUGGGCAUGACAUACCGGGACGGCCCGG
rnacentral:ncRNA from 1 species